AGCCACUGGAAACGGUGAUUAAUACCGGAUACUCCUUCUUGUUAUAAGACAAGUCGGGAAAGUUUUUCGCUAAGGGAUCAGUCUAUGUUCAAUCAGCUUGUUGGUGAGGUAAUGGCUCACCAAGGCUAUGACGGAUAUCUGGUUUGAGAGGAUGAUCAGACACACUGGAACUGAGACACGGUCCAGACUCCUACGGGAGGCAGCAGUGAGGAAUAUUGCACAAUGGAGGAAACUCUGAUGCAGCAACGCCGCGUGGAGGAUGACGCAUUUCGGUGUGUAAACUCCUUUUAUUAGGGAAGAUAAUGACGGUACCUAAUGAAUAAGCACCGGCUAACUCCGUGCCAGCAGCCGCGGUAAUACGGAGGGUGCAAGCGUUACUCGGAAUCACUGGGCGUAAAGGGUGCGUAGGCUGGCUUUUAAGUCAGAUGUGAAAUCCAAUGGCUCAACCAUUGAACUGCAUUUGAAACUGAAAGCCUAGAGUUCAGAAGGGGCAGAUGGAAUUAGUGGUGUAGGGGUAAAAUCCGUAGAUAUCACUAGGAAUAUCAAAAGCGAAGGCGAUCUGCUGGGAU
rnacentral:rRNA from 1 species